rnacentral:rRNA from 2 species
AGAGUUUGAUCAUGGCUCAGAGUGAACGCUGGCGGUAGGCCUAACACAUGCAAGUCGAACGGCAGCACAGGAGAGCUUGCUCUCUGGGUGGCGAGUGGCGGACGGGUGAGGAAUACAUCGGAAUCUACUCUGUCGUGGGGGAUAACGUAGGGAAACUUACGCUAAUACCGCAUACGACCUACGGGUGAAAGCAGGGGACCUUCGGGCCUUGCGCGAUUGAAUGAGCCGAUGUCGGAUUAGCUAGUUGGCGGGGUAAAGGCCCACCAAGGCGACGAUCCGUAGCUGGUCUGAGAGGAUGAUCAGCCACACUGGAACUGAGACACGGUCCAGACUCCUACGGGAGGCAGCAGUGGGGAAUAUUGGACAAUGGGCGCAAGCCUGAUCCAGCCAUACCGCGUGGGUGAAGAAGGCCUUCGGGUUGUAAAGCCCUUUUGUUGGGAAAGAAAUCCAGCUGGCUAAUACCCGGUUGGGAUGACGGUACCCAAAGAAUAAGCACCGGCUAACUUCGUGCCAGCAGCCGCGGUAAUACGAAGGGUGCAAGCGUUACUCGGAAUUACUGGGCGUAAAGCGUGCGUAGGUGUUCGU